UCUCGCCCUUGAAUGAAUUCUGUGGCCCCAUCCUCAGACAAUGGACUGAGAUCUUACAAGAUAAUGCAAGAAAAGAGUUUGUUGGAAUCCUGAUGUCAUUUCAUGGGGACAUGUGCAGAUAUACACAAAAGCAGUGUCAAUAAAAAUACGGAAUCUACACCACAUCUGAGUAAUUUGAGAUAAAGGAGUUGUCAGGACUGGCCAGGAAGAGUACCUCAAACCUUUGUGCUGAUUUACUACAGCUGCUUAUGUAUGUUGCCCCAGAAGAGAUAUUCCUAUGACGUUUUGUGGAAGGACUUAAAAAGUAACAAUGAAUGUUUUCAACCACUAGAUGGCAGAUGAUGACUGUGUUUGCCUCCUUCCUCACUGAAAUACCUGGCAUUCUAAAAGCUGUCGCAUUCUUUCAUAAAUGAAAUAAUGCUAUUUUGAUACCCAUGUUUAAUACUGCAAUCUGAACUAUAUGGCAUCUGUUUCUCUGUAACUUUAAACCUGAAUAAAAUCUGAAAGAAUA